AUUUGCGGAGGAUUGUGUUGCGGCAGGAAAAAAUCUUCAUAAUUUCAGAUGAAUUAAGAUCUUGACACAUAUUAAAGUGCAAAGUCCGAAAUCCGUACUCAUAGGAACUUCAGCGACACCGGAUUUGGGAUUUUUCAGGAUAAUAGAUCAUCAAUUUAAAUCUGAAAGAAAUUAGAAUUUUAUUUGGAUGUUUAUAUAAAGAAUGG